CGACCUCAGAUCAGGCGGGACUACCCGCCGGAUUUAAGCAUAUUAAUAAGCGGAGGAAAAGAAAACAACCGUGAUUCCCUUAGUAGCGGCGAGCGAACCGGGAAAAGCCCAUCGCCGAAUCUCGCCGCGCACUUUUGUGUCGCGGCACGUAUGAGAGUUGUGGCGUACGGGCCGGCCUCGUUGCCGGGGCGCACGUGACGGUCCAAGUCUCCCUUGAACGGGGCCAUGGCCCGCAGAUGGUGCCAGGCCAGUAGAGGCCGUCACAGCGUUCCGGGAUCGGACCGCGCCUUCGAGUCGGGUUGCUUGAGAGUGCAGCCCGAAGCGGGUGGUAAACUCCAUCUAAGGCUAAAUACGGCCACGAGACCGAUAGUUUACAAGUACCGUGAGGGAAAGUUGAAAAGAACUUUGAAGAGAGAGUUCAUAAGAACGUGAAACCGCUCGGUUGUAAACGGACAGAGCUCGCGAAUCCCCGCCGGGCGAAUUCACGGUCGGUCUAACCGCCGGCCGGAUCUUUCGCUCGGUUAGCGGACGUCGCGACCCGUUGGGCGCCGGCCGAAUGGCCCGGGUGACGUUCGUCGCGUCGGUCGCGUUUCGGCGUGACCGUUCGCGCCGAGCCCCGGUGCUCAUGGUCGGCUCGCCCGACGGCAAGAACCGUCGACGCGGCCCCGUCGCAGGCGGGGUCCCGUCGGUCGGCGACGUGUUUCGAGCUACUUUCCGACCCGUCUUGAAACACGGACCAAGGAGUCUAACGUGUGCGCGAGUCAACGGUGAUCUUACGAAAAACCACGUUUGGCGCAAUGAAAGUGAACCGUUUACGGUGCGGACGAUGGCCUAGCGACCGAACCCACCGGCGUUCAAAGUCGCGCUGGUCCGCAGUCCGGGGGCGUCUCCGCCAAGUCGGCUUCGGCCGGCUGGGGGCGCACCCUUAGCGCACACGUUGGUACCCGAAAGAUGGUGAACUAUGCCUGGCCAGGAUGAAGUCAGGGGAAACCCUGAUGGAGGUCCGCAGCGAUUCUGACGUGCACAUCGAUCGUCUGAGCUGGGUAUAGGGGCGAAAGACUAAUCGAACCAUCUAGUAGCUGGUUCCAUCCGAAGUUUCCCUCAGGAUAGCUGGCGCCGAUGUGUCCCGCCCGUUCGCGGGCGUACGGACGCCGGUGGGACUCCGCGCUGUACUGCGCGGUAACAACACGCUCGUAACACGGAGGAUGUCUCAUACAGUAAAGCGAAUGAUUAGAGGACAUUUGGGGCCGAAACGACCUCACCUAUUCUCAACUAUAAAUGAGUGAAAUC
rnacentral:ncRNA from 1 species